rnacentral:lncRNA from 1 species
UAUCCAACAAUUCUGGGGUCAGGUGACCUGGGAUUAAAAACCCAGAUCUAGCCAUCACUUAAAGGUUACUAUAUAACUCCAAGCUUCCUUUUCAUUUGGGUAAGAAUAAGAUAGUUCUUAAUUUGUAAGGUUGUCUUGGGUUUUAAAUGAGAUAAUUCAGUGUCUGGCACAUAGUACUCAAUAAACAUUAUCAUUACCCAUUAUAACCCCAAGGAGGAAAACCAAUUCUUUAUGAGCUAAAAUUGGUGUUGAAUGAAGCUGCAUUUUUGUUAUCUUGAGAUAAUAAGAUAUUUUGAGAUAUCUUGGUUGGAGGUUUUCCCGUGGGAACAGUAUCAUCAUUUUAAGUGUGUGUGUGUGUGUGUGUGUGUGUGUGUUGUGUGUGUGUGUGUGAAUACAUUCAACCCAUUUUAUUGAGCACCUACUGCAGGCCUGGCAUUUUUCUAAGCAUGAGGAUAGAUGGAAAUCAAGAUAGGCUAGGUCUCUGUUCUCAAGGAUUCCUUGUUCAUGAAAAACAGCUUCUUAGUGUUUGUUGUUUGUUUGUUUGUUUGUUUGUUUUUUGCUUAUUUGCUGUUUCAGGAUAUGUUCAGCAUUUGGCAGGGUGAUGAGAGAUUAACACCCCAAGACAGAAUGAAAACCCGAGCUCUCAAGACUCUUCUCUUACGAAAAUGGAAAUGUUGGACUAUGGUUGGGAUCUUUGGAACAGAGGUCUGUGAUGUCUCCAAAAGACACAGAACCAAUUGCCUUCAAACAGCUAAGAUUCCAUCAGAACCUGGAGUGACAGAUCCCUUGGAUCUUCAAAGUCCUGGGCCUCUGAGUCAGUUAAGGGAGAUCUCUUGUUCUUUUUUAUAUAAUCCCAAUCAUGAGAUCUCUAAAGUCAACUGACUAAUAAAAAACUGUGCCUUCAUCA